UCCGGCUUAGCGCCGGCAGUCUCUCUAGAGUCCCCACCAUCACGUGCUGGCAACUAGAAACGGGGGUUGCGCUCGUUGCGGGACUUAACCCAACACCUCACGGCACGAGCUGACGCCAGCCAUGCAGCAUCUGUGCAGGUGCCCCGAAGGGAGACCGUGUUUCCACGGCUGUCACCUGCAUGUCAAGCCCAGGUAAGGUUCUUCGCGUUGCUUCGAAUUAAACCACAUGCUCCACCGCUUGUGCGGGCCCCCGUCAAUUCCUUUGAGUUUCAGCCUUGCGGCCGUACUCCCCAGGCGAGGCACUUAAUGCGUUAGCGUCGGCACCCGGAGGGUCGCUCCCCCGGGCACCUAGUGCCCAUCGUUUACGGCGUGGACUAC
rnacentral:misc_RNA from 1 species